UAUAUAUAUAUAUAUAUAUAUAUAUAUAUAUAUAUAUAUAUAUAUAUAACCGAAGCUGGAUUAGCGCUUACCCUGGGUUAAAAGUUAACCCACUGUUUUGGUAUGGUAACAUUUGCACUUGGGACCAGUUGUUCAAUUUAAAGCAAACUUCCCGGAAGUUUGUUUAUAAACUUGGAAAUAUUUUUUCCUGAGAAAUCUUUUUUCAAAAAAAUACGUAAGUACGCGAAUUAUCGCACCCUGCAGGCCCCUGCUGAACAGCCAGAGUAAAACAUUUAUGUAUACAACUAAAAUAAUUACAUGCAUCGAUGUAUAUAUUUAUCUAAUAGAUUAAAGCUAGAAAUAAAACUAUUUGGUUUA